rnacentral:piRNA from 1 species
UUCUUGGCUCUUUCUGAGAUAUGGUGGAUGU